CCUGGAUCGGCACGACAAAGAGGGCAGAGAUAUUUUUUCUUAAAUAAUCUAAGCGAUUCUGCGCAACAGCGAUAGUCUAGCACAGACAAAAAUAAUAAUUCCAUUUCGUACGUUCAAGGGACCGCAGAAGGAGCUGGAGGGUCUGUAUGCCGUUUGGACGUGAGGAACGCUCCCCGUGGCCCAUCGCAUACACACCCCCUUGGCUUCCAGUGGGUCUACGUAGAACACACCGCCCUUGCACCGAAAGGAUCAGUGCAGUCAUGUCUCAAGUUGAACCCGACUUAUAGCGACCCUCGAGAGCUUUUGAGUGAAAUUGACGCACAAGAAGGAGAAGUGGACCCUAGAGGAACAGCCGGCUUGAAAAGGUUGGAAAAAUGGAAAACACUUUCUCGGAGAGCAGGUCACAGACAGCGAGAUGCGCGUAUGAGUCAAGGCGCCGGGGCCUCAGCUGGUUUCCUGUUGUGCAUUGUGUGCAUAAAAAUCCUAUAAGCAGAAUCUUUGCUAUUUGUCAGUGGCUUGAUCGGUCCUCCAAGGAUGAGAAUCUGUAGCUCCUUCUCCAGGGGGACAGUGGUAUCAUCUUGACGUCA